GAGGGCAGGGACCAAGUCUGUUUCACUAUGUGGUGUGUAUCUAGAGCUACACAGUGUGCUCAACACGCACUAGGUACUUAACAAAUAAUCACUGAAGGGAUGAACGACAGAAUCAGAUGGAAAUAGCCUACUGGAGAGGAAUAAACAUGGCCAUUCUUGAUAGAUAUGUUGACUGAUGGACUGAGAGAUAUAGAUACAUGCCAUGAGAUCUCUUUAUAAGCAGUGGUCUUAUGGAUAUCUGCAUGACCUCUGCUGAAGUAAAAUACUGUGGUUCGUGAGAAGACGUGACCUUUGGAUACAGCUGGUCUAGUCCUGGCUCUGCUGUGUCAGUGAAAGUGGAACAGUUACAUGGCUCUCCCGAAUCUCUGUUUUCACUUGGUUAAAUGAGGGUUACAUGUACUUACUUCCAGUGUUGUUAUGAGAAUUAAAUGAGACUAAAUGUUAAAAUUUC